UUUACGUUUUUUUCCAGAUAUUUUACUGUCAUCCAAAAACUAAAUAAUUACCUAUUGAGCUUGAUGUAACUUUUUAGACGAAAAAAAAAGUUUUAUUCUGAGCCUCUAGUUUGUAAGUUCUGCUGCUUGCUUGAAAUGUGCAUUCCCCACAUGACCUUUACAAAUGUUUUAUUAGAUUUAAUUAAACAGAGACAGGUGACUAAAACACCAAGAGAAAUGGCAACAAAAGCCAAAAUAGACAAAUGGGAUCUAAUUAAAGAACUUCUGCACAGCCAACAAACAUGAAAAGAAGCUCAUCAUAGCUGGUUAUUAGAGAAAUGCAAAUCAAAACC
rnacentral:lncRNA from 1 species